AUUGAACGCUGGCGGCAGGCUUAACACAUGCAAGUCGAGCGGAGUGAUGGUGGUUGCACUACCACUUAGCGGCGGACGGGUGAGUAAUGCUUAGGAAUCUGCCUAUUAGUGGGGGACAACAUCUCGAAAGGGAUGCUAAUACCGCAUACGUCCUACGGGAGAAAGCAGGGGAUCACUUGUGACCUCGCGCUAAUAGAUGAGCCUAGGUCGGAUUAGCUAGUUGGUGGGUUAAAGGCCUACCAAGGCGACGAUGUGUAGCGGGUCGGAGAGGAUGAGCCGCCUCACUUGAGCUGCGACACGGCCCAGACGCCGACGGUAUGCAGCAGUGGGGAAUAUUGUACAAUAGUGGGAACCCUGAUGCAGCCAUGCCGCGUGUGGGAAGAAGGCCUUAUGGUUGUAAAGCACUUUAAGCGAGGAGUAGGCUCUUUUUGUUAAUACCCAGAAUGAGUGGACGUUACUCGCAGAAUAAGCACCGGCUAACUCUGUGCCAGCCGCCGCAGUAACAC
rnacentral:rRNA from 1 species